GUGUGGCUGUGGCUGUGCCAUAGGCCAGCGCUGUAGUUCCAACUGGACCCCUAGCCCGGGAACCUCUAUAUGCCACAGGAGAGGCCCUAAAAAACAAAAAAUAAAAUCAGUGGAAUAAAGACAGGUCAUGGGGCCAAGUGCAGUGGGUAUGGGUCUGGAGUCAGACAGGUGGAGGUCUGACUCCCAGAACACUGCUACUAGCUGAGUUUUCUAAUGCCAACUGUUCUGCCUCCUGGCCUGCACCUCACCAGUGGAAUGACCCCUGCCUCUCAGCAUGCUGUGAGGUUCAUGAAAUACAGUCAUAGAUUCAAGCUACAAGAACUCAUCUUUAAGAGGAGUUUCCGCUAAAGCCACUUUGGUGUAUGAGGAUUACAAGGCACUUUCUAAAAAAAAAAUUACAAGUUCUGAUCUGGAUUUCUAGGGCCUGGGGAGUAAACAGCUCAUGAAAGGACAGUGACCUCCAUGACCACUGGUGCAGUUCAAAGAUCCAUCACGUGAACAAUGAAUGUCAAAUAUUGCUUUUAUUGAGAACACAGGCACAGGUGUACACCAGCCGUGAAGGGUGGAGCUGGAGCACAGCAGCUGGCCGUUGUACACAGUAAGAGAACUGCCUUGUAUUGUGCUAUGUUAACUAAGGUUCAUAAGUUAACUAACCGUGUCCAUUUUAAUGGGUCAUGGUGGUAUUCUAGUAUGAACAAGUAUUAACUUAGAGACUAAGGAAUGCGUGAAUAAUUUUACAUUGAAAGUAAUGUUAAUUGUAUCUUUUGACUUUAGAGAAUUGCUAUCCUCCAGGCCCAUAGAGUCAUAUAUAAA